GUUCCCGUAGCUCAGUAGGAUAGAGCAAUCGCCUCCUAAGCGAUAGGUCGUGAGUUCGAUUCUCGCCGGGAACACCA
rnacentral:tRNA from 1 species